rnacentral:lncRNA from 1 species
CGGAUUUCAAAGGAGUUGCCAAUAUUCUUCUUCUUAAAAAGGUAAUUGCGAAAAUAUGGUUUCAUGGGUUGUCCGUGAAACCUCAUCAACUAAGAAGCAAGGCCAGUCCUAUGCUCAGGAUUAUUUGAUCAUCCAAUGCAAUAUUCUGCUGGACAUCCAAUGCAAUGCAUGGAUCUAGCUUUUUGAUUGGCUCUGGAUCAAGGAUUGAUGGUGUCGCAACAUCGAGGGUCAUUCAUCUACUUACAUAGAAGUUCCUUGUUUUCGAAUAAUAGAUGAUGAUUCCACAACUAAAUGAUAUGCUUUAUUUCUUGGAAAUAUAAAUUCUUGUGCUUUAUGUACUUCAUAUUGAAAAUAAAAUUAGCAGUGUAGAAUUAACAUCGCAUAGUUUUUCUUGGUCUUUUGGAGUAGAUUUUAUGGUCCAUUGACCAAAGUAGGUUAAAUCUCAUGCUGAAUAUAGGCGCUAUGAGUUUGUACUCCAUUAUAUGCAGCUUAUGGACUCCUUUGGGGAACCAAUUGUACCUGAUCAACUAGCUGCCAGUUGAGGGUGUAACCAGGCCAAGCUCGAAUCAAUUCCAGCCAUACUCAGUCUGAGCUGGGAGCAAGUUUAUGUGAGCACAAGUUGUUCGUCAGUGGCUGGUUUAUUUGAGGGAUUUAAGAGCGCAAGGACAGAUAUGCUUUGACUGGUCCAUGUCAUGAGAUCUCAAUCUAAUGACUAAAAUAGCCA